rnacentral:rRNA from 1 species
UACGAAGGAGGCAAGCGUUGUUCGGAUUUACUGGGCGUAAAGCGUAUGUAGGCGGUUUGACAAGUCAGGCGUGAAAUCCCAGGGCUUAACCCUGGAAUUGCUUUUGAAACUGUCUUACUUGAAUCCGGUAGAGGUUGGCGGAAUUCCCAGUGUAGAGGUGAAAUUCGCAGAUAUUGGGAGGAACACCAGUGGCGUAAGCGGCCAACUGGACCGGUAUUGACGCUGAGGUACGAAAGCGUGGGUAGCAAACAGG